GCGCGUUUUCCACGUUUUCAUGAUUGGUCUCCGAAGCCAAAGGUCGCAGGUUCGAAUCCUGCCGGGCGCG
rnacentral:tRNA from 1 species